GCUCCCACCCGCCCCCAGCUCCUCCUCCUCUUGGCUAGGGAAGGUGUUCUCUUGGGUGAGACACCAAGGCUGGAAGUUCCUCACGUCCCCUCCUGGCCCCCACCUCCUUCUGUGUGUUUUCUUUCAGACACACCCUUAGCUCAAAUUCGCUUUGAAGGUCAGUAAUUUCCACUCUGUCUUUUCAAAAUAACUGCACAGUUCUUCUGGGACCCAAAGGUUGAUUCUUCACACUGAGGAAUGAGUCUGCCUCAGCAAUAACUACAUUCCAGAAAUAUCCAUCCAGCACCUCUAAUGGAUACAUCUUGGAGGUAUGGACCCUUCCCAAAUUCCAGACUGCUCCACAGAUUACCCAUCGUUGCCCGGAGUGUUCUAGAGUCUCCAGGGGGCUACCUUGCUCUCUCGGAAAUAGGAACCAACCUCAGUCAAAGCCAAGAUGGUGUCAUCUACCCUCUUGAGAUCUACAGAGAUACCCUGAGACCCACUUCCUCAUCAGACUCCCAGCCCUGCUCCCACCAGACCCCUAGUUCCCCAGAGGACUGGCCCGCUGGGAAGACAGUCCCUCCCCACUGGCUCGCUUGGUUGUCUCUGAGCUCUUUGGUAAAGGCCUGGGCAGUCAGGGCACCUGGCUCCUGGUUUGGCCCACAACUGACCUGCCAUGUGCCCUCAGGCAGGUGACUAAAUCCCUGUCCUGGGGGAAGUUCAACAUUGACCACAGGGGCCCGGACCCACCCAAAGAAAUGAUAGACGUGAGUGAGCUUGGCAAAGUCAAGUGCUACAGCAAAGAACGCUUUGGUGUAGACAUUCAAGCAGGUGCUAAUUCCCUCUCACAGUUUGACUUCUACUGAUUGCUUUCCUGUCCCAUGAAAGAGAAUUAGCAAUUAAACCAUGUGUGGAGCUUCUGCCAUGUUCUAGGUACUUGACGAACAGUAUCCCCAAGUCCCUUUUACAGGUGAGGACACCAAGGCUCAGAGAUGAGGCAGAAGAGACACUUCAUUCCACAAACACGUAUAAAGUGCCUGCUCACUGCGGGCAUUUUGUUAUACUCGACUCUGGGGCUUUGGGCCACCCCCACCCUUCCCUGCACAGAGCUCCCAGCCUGGAGGAAUCCCAAAAGAAUGACGCUCCAACCCAUGACUGUCGGGAUCCAAAGCAAAAUAUUUUCCCACCGUGUUGCUCAUUGAACACAUGUUUUUCCUGAGUCCAGGCGGGGGCCCGAAAGUGCUGCUUCCUGAUCUCACCGAGGACAUGCUGGAGUCCCUUGUCUGUGACCUGCCCCCCUGGAAUGCAUGGGACGCACCCCGGAAGCUCUGGUUCUCCCCUCUCAAGUGCAGUCUCACUGCCUGCAGGUCUUCCCUCCCAGGCUUUCACCCCCUGCCGACCUGAUGCUGGGUGGCAUGUGCUUCCGGCACUCUAGAAGCUUCUGUGGUUCCCCAGGGCCUGUUGAAUUCAGUCGGACUCCUCAGCCCGGAGUCCCAGCGCUCCUCCCCCUGACCCCCCAGCCUUCCCCAGCUUUCCCCUUCC
rnacentral:lncRNA from 1 species